rnacentral:rRNA from 1 species
CCAAUAGCGUAUAUUAAAGUUGUUGCAGUUAAAAAGCUCGUAGUUGAAUUUCGGGAUCAAUCUGUCGGUCGUGCCUCGGUACGUACUGGCAUUAUUGGUUCCUCCCUUCUGAAGAACCUCGAUGUCAUUAAUUUGGUGUCUCGGGGAAUCAGGACUGUUACUUUGAAAAAAUUAGAGUGUUUAAAGCAGGCACACGCUUGAAUACAUUAGCAUGGAAUAAUGAAAUAGGACGUUUGAUUCUAUUUUGUUGGUUUCUAGGAUCGACGUAAUGAUUAAUAGGGAUAGUUGGGGGCAUUAGUAUUCAAUUGUCAGAGGUGAAAUUCUUGGAUUUAUUGAAGACUAACUACUGCGAAAGCAUUUGCCAAGGAUGUUUUCAUUAAUCAAGAACGAAAGUUAGGGGAUCGAAGACGAUCAGAUACCGUCGUAGUCUUAACCAUAAACUAUGCCGACUAGGGAUCGGAUGAUGUUAAUUUUUUAAUGACUCAUUCGGCGCCUUACG